rnacentral:misc_RNA from 1 species
AUUUCCCAGUCGAAUGAACUCGGGAACAUAAAGUGAGUAUCUGUAGUGGAUACCUACUUGGUGAAUAUGUUUUGUAAAUCCUGUCCACCCCGUGGAUAGGUAGUCGGCAAAACGUCGGACUGUCAUAAGAAUUGAAACGCUGGCACACUGUUGGGUCCUGAGGCAACACAUGGUGUUGUCACCCUGCUUGGUGGUGGGGUGUGGUCUUUGAUUUA